GACGAACGCUGGCGGCGUGCUUAACACAUGCAAGUCGAACGGAAAGGCCUGCUUUCCCUUGUGGAUUGCGGGUACUCGAGUGGCGAACGGGUGAGUAACACGUGAGUGAUCUGCCCCCAACUUGGGUAUAAGCCUGGGAAACUGGGUCUAAUUCCCGAUAGGACUGCAGGGCGGUGCCUGUGGUGGAAAACGAUUUUCUAGUGGUUGGGGAUGAGCUCGCGGCCUAUCAGCUUGUUGGUGGGGUAAUGGCCUACCAAGGCGGCGACGGGUAGCCGGCCUGAGAGGGUGGACGGCCACAGUGGGACUGAGAUACGGCCCAGACUCCUACGGGAGGCAGCAGUGGGGAAUAUUGCACAAUGGGCGGAAGCCUGAUGCAGCGACGCCGCGUGGGGGAUGACGGCCUUCGGGUUGUAAACUCCUUUCGACCGCGAGGAAGCCACCUGGUUGGAAGGGUGGUGACGGUAGUGGUAGAAGAAGCACCGGCUAACUACGUG
rnacentral:rRNA from 1 species